rnacentral:rRNA from 1 species
AGAGUUUGAUCAUGGCUCAGAUUGAACGCUGGCGGCAUGCCUUACACAUGCAAGUCGAACGGUAACGCGGGGCAACCUGGCGACGAGUGGCGAACGGGUGAGUAAUGCAUCGGAACGUGCCCAGUAGUGGGGGAUAGCCCGGCGAAAGCCGGAUUAAUACCGCAUACGACCUACGGGUGAAAGCGGGGGACCGCAAGGCCUCGCGCUAUUGGAGCGGCCGAUGUCAGAUUAGGUAGUUGGUGGGGUAAAGGCCCACCAAGCCUGCGAUCUGUAGCUGGUCUGAGAGGACGACCAGCCACACUGGGACUGAGACACGGCCCAGACUCCUACGGGAGGCAGCAGUGGGGAAUUUUGGACAAUGGGGGCAACCCUGAUCCAGCCAUGCCGCGUGCGGGAAGAAGGCCUUCGGGUUGUAAACCGCUUUUGUCAGGGAAGAAACGCUCUAAGCUAAUACCUUGGGGUAAUGACGGUACCUGAAGAAUAAGCACCGGCUAACUACGUGCCAGCAGCCGCGGUAAUACGUAGGGUGCAAGCGUUAAUCGGAAUUACUGGGCGUAAAGCGUGCGCAGGCGGUCGUGCAAGACAGAUGUGAAAUCCCCGGGCUCAACCUGGGAACUGCAUUUGUGACUGCACGGCUGGAGUGCGGCAGAGGGGGAUGGAAUUCCGCGUGUAGCAGUGAAAUGCGUAGAUAUGCGGAGGAACACCGAUGGCGAAGGC